UAAACCCUGCUCAGAAGUCAAGAGCAGCAGCGCCUCCGCUCCUCGCGGCCUUUCAUACCGCAGCCGCUCCUCAUUCUUGUGCCCGGGCCUCUCUGGGCGUCCUUGGACAAAGCCCCCGGAGCCCGGCCUCUCCCUUCCCGCUAAAUCCCCUUCGGGGUCAGUGCGUUACCAGCACCGGGCCCGUGCGCCUCUCCUGCAAGCCCUGUGGCUCUUAAAGAGCCGCGCACCCCCUCCGCCCCGCGCGCUCCUCCGACCCCCGCCACCCCCCUCCCCUCUCCUCCGGAUCUAGCCCCCCACGCCGCCGACGCCUGAGGUCCCUGCUGCCCCGAC
rnacentral:lncRNA from 1 species